rnacentral:rRNA from 1 species
AAAGGAAUUGACGGGGGCCCGCACAAGCAGCGGAGCAUGUGGUUUAAUUCGACGCGACGCGAAGAACCUUACCUGGGCUUGACAUGUUUCUGACAGCCGUGGAAACACGGUCUCUCUUCGGAGCAGAAUCACAGGUGGUGCAUGGCUGUCGUCAGCUCGUGUCGUGAGAUGUUGGGUUAAGUCCCGCAACGAGCGCAACCCCCGUCGCAUGUUGCCAGCAUUUAGUUGGGGACUCAUGCGAGACUGCCGGUGACAAACCGGAGGAAGGUGGGGAUGACGUCAAGUCAUCAUGCCCCUUAUGUCCAGGGCUACACACGUGCUACAUUGGCGCGUACAGAGGGCUGCAAGACCGCGAGGUGGAGCGAAUCCCUUAAAGCGCGUCUCGGUUCGGAUUGCAGGCUGAAACUCGCCUGCAUGAAGGUGGAGUUGCUAGUAAUCGCGGAUCAGCAUUGCCGCGGUGAAUACGUUCCCGGGCCUUGUACACACCGCCCGU